UGCGUAGGCGGUCUUUCAAGCCAGAAGUGAAAGGCUACGGCUCAACCGUAGUAAGCUUUUGGAACUGUAAGACUUGAGUGCAGGAGAGGAGAGUAGAAUUCCUAGUGUAGCGGUGAAAUGCGUAGAUAUUAGGAGGAAUACCAGUAGCGAAGGCGGCUCUCUGGACUGUAACUGACGCUGAGGCACGAAAGCAGUGGGGAGCAAACA
rnacentral:rRNA from 1 species